rfam:Pteropus alecto contig28711, whole genome shotgun sequence.
AAAAAUAGAACAUUUAAAAAGAAUGUAUCAUUAAUCCCGUCUGAUCUCGGAAGCUAAGCAGGUUCAGGCCUGGUUAGUACUUGGAUGAGAGACCACCAAGGAAGACCGGGUGCUGUAGGCG